AUUGAACGCUGGCGGCAGGCCUAACACAUGCAAGUCGAACGAGUGGCGGACGGGUGGGUAAUGUCUGGGAAACUGCCUGACGGAGGGGGAUAACUACUGGAAACGGUAGCUAAUACUGCAAACCAUGGGAUGGGCUCUGAUGGGAUUAGCUAGUAGGUGGGGUAACGGCUCACCUAGGCGACGAUCCCUAGCUGGUCUGAGAGGAUGACCAGCCACACUGGAACUGAGACACGGUCCAGACUCCUACGGGAGGCAGCAGUGGGGAAUAUUGCACAAUGGGCGCAAGCCUGAUGCAGCCAUGCCGCGUGUGUGAAGAAGGCCUUCGGGUUGUAAAGUACUUUCAGCGGGGAGGCGUUACCCGCAGAAGAAGCACCGGCUAACUCCGUGCCAGCCGCCGCGGUAAUUC
rnacentral:rRNA from 1 species